GGCCUAACACAUGCAAGUCGAGCGGUAGAGAGAAGCUUGCUUCUCUUGAGAGCGGCGGACGGGUGAGUAAUGCCUAGGAAUCUGCCUGGUAGUGGGGGAUAACGUUCGGAAACGGACGCUAAUACCGCAUACGUCCUACGGGAGAAAGCAGGGGACCUUCGGGCCUUGCGCUAUCAGAUGAGCCUAGGUCGGAUUAGCUAGUUGGUGGGGUAAUGGCUCACCAAGGCGACGAUCCGUAACUGGUCUGAGAGGAUGAUCAGUCACACUGGAACUGAGACACGGUCCAGACUCCUACGGGAGGCAGCAGUGGGGAAUAUUGGACAAUGGGGGCAACCCUGAUCCAGCAAUGCCGCGUGGAUGAUGAAGGCCUUCGGGUUGUAAAGUCCUUUCGGCGGGGAAGAUGAUGACGGUACCCGCAGAAGAAGCCCCGGCUAACUUCGUGCCAGCAGC
rnacentral:rRNA from 1 species